rnacentral:rRNA from 1 species
AUUGAACGCUGGCGGCAGGCUUAACACAUGCAAGUCGAACGAGUGGCGGACGGGUGAGUAAUGCCUGGGAAUCUGGCUUAUGGAGGGGGAUAACUACUGGAAACUGUAGCUAAUACCGCAUACCAUAGGAUGAGCCCAAGUGGGAUUAGGUAGUGGGUGGGGUAAAGGCUCACCAAGCCGACGAUCCCUAGCUGGUCUGAGAGGAUGACCAGCCACACUGGAACUGAGACACGGCCCAGACUCCUACGGGAGGCAGCAGUGGGGAAUAUUGCGCAAUGGGCGCAACCCUGACGCAGCCAUGCCGCGUGAAUGAAGAAGGCCUUCGGGUUGUAAAGUUCUUUCGGUAGGGAGGCGUUACCCACAGAAGAAGCACCGGCUAACUCCGUGCCAGCAGCCGCGGUAAUAC